UUUACCUGAGCAACUCCUAGCAAAAUGAGGGUUUAACUGAGCAACUCCUAGGAAAAUGAGGGUUUAACUGAGCAACUCCUAGGAAUAUGAGGGUUUAACUGAGCAACUCCUAGCAAAAUGAGGGUUUAACUGAGCAACUCCUAGGAAAAUGAGGGUUUAACUGAGCAACUCCUAGGAAUAUGAGGGUUUAAAUGUAGUUGAUUUUUUUUUUCUCUUGUCUUUUUAAGUUUUCCUUUUGAUGUGUCAAACUGUAGAAGAACUACAUUCUGGCUGGGCACAGUGGCUCAUGCCUGUAAUCUCAACACGUUGGGAGGCUGAGGCAGGUGGAUCACGAGGUAAGGAGUUCAGGACCAGCCUGGCCAAUAUGGUGAAACCCAUGUUUAGUCUAUUGUUUAAUAAAUAAAAUUGCGUCCUCAGAGUUUUAGUCUCUACUAAAAAUACAAAAAUUAGCCAGGCGUAGUGGCAAGCACCUGUAAUCCCAGCUAUUUGGGAGGCUGAGACGGGAGACUUGCUUGAACCUGGGAGGCAGAGGUUGCAGUGAGCCAAGAUCAUGCCAUUGUACUUCAACCUGGGCAACAGAGUGAGACUUCGUCAAAAAAAAAAAGAAAACCUACAUUCAUCUUUUACAGGAAGAACACGAUAGUACAUUUGUGGUCUCUUCUGAAACAUGUAGAUCUUUGGGUGUAUGUUCAUUUUCAACUUUAAUAAGCAUCAGGACUUUAUUUUUCCAUUUUGAUUGGAAAUCUACAAUUAUAUUUACUUUUUUUCUGGUUCUUUUUAAAGAAUAUAAAACACAGAUUAACAUUUCCUUGAAUCUGGAUCUUAAUGAUGAAUGGCUUCUCAUGGUAAAUAUCAGGGCUUAAUGAAGAGUGUAGACUGGUACAUGGGCCACAACUGGUUUCUUUCUUUCUUUCUUUUUUUUUUUGAGGCAGUCUUACUCUGUCCCCCAGCCUGGAGUGCAGUGGUACAGUCAUAGUUCACUGCAGCCUCAAACUCCUGAACUAAAGUGAUCCUCUGACCUCAGUCUUCCAAAUACAGGUGCACCAUGUCAGGCUAAAUUUUUAAUUUUUUGUAGAGAUGGGGUUUUGCCAUGUUGCCCUGGACUCAAGCAACCUCAGCUUCCCAAAGUGUUGGGAUUACAGGCGUGAGCCACCAUCCCUGGCCGCCUUUUUUUUUUUUUUUUUUAAAAAAAAACCUAAUUUGUUAUGAUAGAUAAAAUGUUUGAGCAUCAGGCUGGGCACUGGGGCUCACGCCUGUAAUCCCAGCACUUUUGGAGGCCAAGGUGGGUGGAUUACCUGAGGUCAGGAGUUCGAGACCAGCCUGGCUAACAUGGUGAAAUCCUUCUUCUACUAAAAAUACAAAAAAAUUAGCCAGGUAUGGUGGCUAGUGCCUGUAAUCCCAGAUACUUGGGAGGCUGAGGCGGGAGAAUCACUUGAACUUGGGAGGCAGAAGUUGCAGGGAGCCAAGAUUGUGCCACCGCACUCCAGCCUGGGCAACAAGAGUGAAACUUCAUUUCGAAAAAUGAAAUAAAAUGUUUGAGCAUCUAUAUUAAUAAAACAUAGAUCCUUCACAUCUUUGAGGAGUGUCAGUGAAGCUCUGAAUAUGAUGGUGUAAUAUUUGUACUGCAGUCACUGUCAUAUUAGCUACCUUUUACGUUGACUUCACAAGCAGGUUUUUAUUUGGUGCUUUCAAUCACAGGUGAUGGAAUGGGGCAGUGUAACACGCCUUAAGUCCAUUGUUUAAUACAAUUAUGUCCUCAGAGUUAAAAUAUGUGGAAAGUAGUUGACAGCAUUCUGUCAUCUCUCCCAUGUACUGUUUUGCUGUGGAUGAAAAUGAAUAAGCAACUCUGGAAACCAAGGUCCUCUGGGAACAUAAAAAGUCUUGUGGCUAUUAAUGGAUUUAAUUGUAUUUCCUCUCUGCCACCAAGAUGUGUGAUAAAUUGUUUAUGCCCUCGCUGUUAGUGGGGAGAAUUGUUCAUUAAAUGCAUGUAAUAUCAUUAUGGUUUUGUUUUUAUUACUUGUAGAUAGUCUUAUCUCUCCUUUUAAAAAAAUAUAAAAAGAAUGGCUGUAAUUAUUAAACGUUGGCCAUUAAUCCCUUUGGUUGACGUUUCCCUCUGUGGAGAAAAAGGAAAGUGUCAUCUCACUGGGGAAGCAAGCUGAACUGGAAAUGGGACAUGGUCUCCUACAUCUAAGGUUUGGCAGAAGGUUGGUUUGGUAUGCUUUGACUAGGGCCAAGUGAUAUGUUUACUUAGGUUCCAGAAGGGCCUGGUUCUAAGGCAGCCACACUGAUAAAUGAAUGCCUUGUAUCAGGUGUGGAGAGGCUUCAUUGUAUUUAAAUCCACUUAAGAGGACAGUUAUAGAAGAAUGACUGUUUAGGACUCUGGCUCUAUUUUCUUGUCAUUUAGGUAUUUCUGCCAAUUAUAAUAAAUGUGGAGGAAGUCAGCAAAUUGCUAUGUCUCUUUAAAACCAUAUGCCAGAAAUGCUUUAACAUUAAAGUUUGAUUUCUCACUUGGCUUUACCCCACCAUGUGAGUUUGGAUAAGGCUUUGUAACUUCCUGCGCAUACCUCUACUGUUUCCUCAUUUAGUCAAAAGAUACUUAUUAAGCAUACAUUACAGACCAGUCACUGCUUGGAUACUGAGGAGAGAGCAAUGAACAAAACAAACAAAUUCCAGCUUUUGUGGAGCUUACCUUCUGGGGCCAGGGUGGGCAGCAGGCAGUAACAAGUGAGUGAGCAAAUGCUAGGGUGUGCCGGACAAGAAAAAAUGGGAUAAGUGGGUGGAGGGAGGAGGUCAUGGUUUUAAACAAGGUGGUCAAGAGAGACCUCAGAAGGCAAGGCAGCCACAUGGAACACACAUUUAGGCAGGCUGGGCAAAUUUUAUGGGAUGAGGCCUCCCAGUAGAGCGAAGAAGAAGUAUUGCAGGUUCCAGAGGAUCCAGGAGGCCAGUGUGGCUAGAGCCAGGUGAAUUAGAGAGAGAGAGUAAUAGAUAAAGUCAAAGAGGUAAAAGGGGAGGUCUCACAGGCCAGAUCUGUAGGACUCUGGCUUUGACCUUGAGUGAGAUGAGAAGUCAUUAGGCUUUUGAGGCAGCAAAGAGGCGUGAUGAUCACUUCCACCCUAAAAGAACCACUGACCACUGUAUGUGGUCUGUAAAGAAAGGCUGGGGUGGAAGCAGGGAGUCCAGUCAGUGGGGGCUGCUGUGAUCAUCUAGGUGGGAGCUGAUGCUGGCUUGGACCAAGGUGCUGGAGGUAGAGAUGAGAAAGUGGAGGGAGUCUGAGCAUAUUUCAAGGCUAAAGAGUUUGCUUAUGAUCAGAUUUGAGGUAUGACAGAACAAAAGGAUUCAAGGAUGACACCAAUAUUUCAUUUAACUUCUUUGUGUCUGUUUUCUGUUUGUUUUGUUUUAAAAUAAUUAUUGUCAUCCCUUUAUCUUAGCAACUUUCUUUGAGAACGAGAUCUGUGUAACAGAGCUCUUGAGGGAGUUUUUUUGUUUCUACUUUUGCCAUUUAUAAUUAAUUGGAAAUAAAUUUCUUGGGAAUUUACUGGGUGACGAAAUAAUUCAUAGGUUGGCACUUGAUUGUUUUAAAAACCUGGAUGAGUUCUUAUGCUUUAGGCCACAGUGAUGCUGUGGGAGUGGCUGAGUCUCAAUAUGCCUAAUUUUCUGCUGCUGUGUUUCCUCUGUCAGAUGCCCUCUCUGCAAUCCUUACUUAUUUGAUGUUGUCCAAAGAGGGAGAUUGCAGAAGCCAUUAAUAACUGUAGCCCCAUAGCGUUUGUUGCUAACCCAGCAAAAUAGAAGAGUCCAAAACAUCAUGGUUUUUUCUUUUUUAAUAUUUUUUUCUUUUUCUAACGUAGCUAUAAGAGUGUUUUCCUUUUUUAAAUGACUGGUUUGCUGUAUCAGACAGCCUGUCUGCGCUUCCUAGGAGCUUCUCUGUAAGGAGGAAUACUGCUGCAGAAUGAUCUAAUUUGUGUAAUCUUGAAGGUGGAGCUAUUUUUGAAAGAGAACAGAAAAAUAAUGGAGCCCUUUGCUCGAGAUUGCCAAACCGGAUCUUACUGUUUUAAAAGGCAGAGGACUCAGUUAGAGCUUGUAGUUUGAACUCCUGUUUCCCUCUCACUCUGCUCAUUAUGUCUAGAUCAAAUUUGUGAUAGAUAUACUUCGAUAAUUACUCUUGAAAAUGACAGCUGGGUUUUUGUUUGUUUAUUUUGUUCAUUCUUUUACAUUUUAGAUAAGUGUAUUAUUCAACUUGUGAUUUUGAUGAGGUGAGUGGUAUAAAAGAACAGUUACCAAGUUUAGGAAUUAGAAUUCUCUUUACAGUUCUUAUAAUAGAAUGAUGGUGUGUAGCUAGUUCUCAACCCCGUCAGACCCUAUGACCACCUUUAAUAUCCUGAAAUGAAAUUCCCAGAUAAAAUCUACUGACAUGUCUACAAAGUCUUAACUGUAAUAUGAAAGGAAAACAAAAAGGAACGUUAUGGUAAUAAAAUAUGUAUUUCUGUGUGUAAAUUCUCAGAAGACAAAUUUAAAUGCUCACAACACAUUGGAAACCACAGCCAUCAGGUUCUUGUGGGUACACAUGGCUUUAUCUUUGUGAGUAUGACACCUAUAAGUAGAGGCCAAUACAGAUGUAUUCUGUUAGUGAUUCAGAUAUGUAGCAUUGCCACUGGUGAUAUGAUUUUCCAAUAUGGUGAAUAAAUCUUCAUAAAGUUCUACACAAAACAAAGUAUAAUCUUGUCCUUUUUUAUAUAAUAGCUACAUUCCUGGAAAAUUUAGUGUAUAUUUAGUGGUGAAAAAGUGCUUAUGAUUUCUUUGUAAGAUCUCUUUAGGUCUAGGUUGAGAUAGUUAUAAACUGCUUCUUACUUAGAUGAUGUGUCUGGCAGGGCCAAAGGAAGAUUUGUUAUAAAUCUCAUGAAGCUUAAGUUUCAGGGCCCUGUACAUGCACAGGCUACUUACAGGGCACUAUACCUAGUUAGAAAAACAGAAGUAAAAACACCUUUUUUUUCCCCCUUGAGACAGGGCCUCAUUCUGUCUCCCAGGUUGGAGCACAGUGGUGCGAUCUCAGCUCAUGGCAACCUCCGCCUCCCAGGCUCAAGUGAUUCUUGUGCCUCAGCCUCCUGAGUAGCUAGAACUAUAGGUGCACACCACCACACCUGGCCAAUUUUAAAAUUUUUUGGUAGAGAUGGGGUUUCACCAGGUUGGCCAGCCUGAUCUCUAACUCCUGACCUCAAGUGAUCCACCUGCCUCUGCCGCUCAAAGUGCUGAGGUUACAGGCAUGGGUGUGGCCAAAAACACCUCUUGAGCACAUGUUUUCAGGGCCUGCUGAGGCUGUGUCAUGGAAAAAAAACAAAAAACCUUUUGUUUGAAAUGUCAUGUAUACUCAGAAAAGGACAUAUAUAAUAAGUGCAACUUGAUAAAUUUUCAUAAACUGAACGUACAUAACCAGCACUCACAUCAAGAAACAACAUUACCAACUCCCCAGAGCAUUACCAUGCCCCCUUCUAAUACCACCCUUCCCACUCUGCCAAUGAUAACUAGUUUCCUGACUUCUAGCGGCAUGCAUUAGUUUUGCAAUGGAUGAAGUACAAAAUAACACUUGUGUUUUUUUGUUUUCUUUUGUUUUGUUUUGAGACAGAGUCUUGCUCUGUCACCCAGGCUGGAGUACAAUGGCAUGAUCUUGGCUCACUGCAACCUCUGCUUCCCAGGUUCAAGCAAUUCUCCUGCCUCAGCCUCCAGAGUAACUGGGAUUACGGGCAUGCACUACCAUACUCCGCUAAUUUUUUAUAUUUUGUAGAGGAAGGGUUUCACCAUAUUGGCCAGGCUCUCGAAUGCCUGACCUCAGGUGAUCCACCCGCCUUGGUCUCCCACAGUGCUGGGAUUACAGGUGUGAGCCACCGUGCCCAGCCAAGAACACUUGUAUCUAACUUCUGCUGCUCAACAUUAUGUUUAUGUGAUGCGGACGCAACUCCUUGUUGCAAUGAGUUGUAGUGAAUGCUUUCUUUUUGCUAUGCAGUACUGUAUUCCAUGGUGUGAGUAUAUUGCAGUUUGUGUAACCAGUCUGCUUUUGAUGAUCUAUGGGAGAUUUCCAGUUUGGGCUCUGCUGAAUAGUGCUACCGUGGGCAUUCUUGCACCUGCUCGUUGUAGACUAAAGCACUCAUUUCUCUGGAGUAUAUACCCAGGAGUUGGAUUGCUGGAUUGUGGGGUAUAUGGACAGUAUAUUCAGCUGAGCAAUAUAUGAAAGUUCCUGUUACUGCACAUCUUCACCAACAAUUGUUUUUGUUUAUUUUGCCAUUUUCUUUUCUUUUUUUUAUUCUGCACUUAGUGGUAAGAUAUUUGCACUGUUUUGCCUUUUUCAAGGCAAAGAAUUGGGCCGGAGUAAAACGGUUUCACCUAUGGCUUUAAUUUGUAUUUUCCCGACAAUGUUGAGCACCUUUUUAUAUAUUUUUUGGCCAUCUGGGUAUCCUCUUUUAUGAACUGUCUGUUCAGGUCAGUUGCGCAUUUAUCUAUCUCUCUGUUUUUUAUUUACCUUUAGGAGUUCUUCUUUUUUUUUUUUUUUUGAAAUGGAGGCUCACUCUGUUGCUCAGGCUAGAGUGCCGUGGCGUGAUAUUAGCUCAUUGCAGCCUCUGCCUCCCAGGUUCAAGAGAUUCUCCUUCCUCAGCCUCCUGAGUAGCUGGAUUACAGGCAUGUACCACCAUGCCUGUGUAAUUUUUAUAUUUUUAGUAGAGAUGGGGUUUCACCAUGUUGGUCAGACUUGUUUCGAACUCCUGACCUUGUGAUCUACCUGCCUGAGCCUCCCAAAGUGCUGGGAUUACAGGUGUGAGCCACUGUGCCCAGCAAGGAGUUCUUUGUCUCAAAAAAAGUUCUUUCUCAUACUCUGUGGGUUGCUUUUUUACUCUUUAUUUAUUUAUUUUAUGGCAUGAUAUCAUCAAGCAACCCUUUCACUCUUUUAAUGAACAGAAAUUAUUAAUAUAGUUCAAUUUAUCAAUUUUUGCCUUUGUUUAGUGCCGUUUAUGUUCUAUGUAAGAAAUCUUUGCCUACUUCAGGAUCAUGAAGAUGUCCUCUAAUGUUUUCUUCUAAAAGUUGUAUUGUGUACCUUCCACAUUUAGAGUUCCAGUCCAUCUGAAAUUGGUAUUUUUAUGUGGUAUGAAAUGUGGGUUAAUACACAUUUCCCCUGAUAGAAGUACUCAACCCUGAACCAUUUAUUUACAGGGUCAUCCUUUUCCCACUGCAAUGCAUUAUUACCUUGAUCACAAGUGCCUUGACAUUUUACAUGUGGUUCCUUUUUGUUUUUCUUUCUUGGCCUUAAACUGAGGUAAGUUUGUUUUGUUUGUUUUUUUAGAGAUGGGGUUUUACCAUGUUGGUCAGGCUGGUCUUGAACUCCUGAUGUCAGGUGAUCCGCCCGUCUCAGCCUCCCAGAGUGCUGGGAUUACAGGCGUAAGCCACCGUGCCCGGCCUUUACAUGUGGUUCUAAUUUUAGACUUUCUAUUCUGUACCGUUGGUCAGUCUGUCCAUCCUUGCAUCAGUGUCGCCCUGUCUCAGUGACCGUAUCUUUAUAAUAGGCCUGUUACGUAGAAUGGAUUCCUGCUUUGUGCUUCUUCAUAAUUGCCUUAAGAUAGUCUUUGCCUUUUGCAUUUCCUUUAGAGUCAGCUUUUCAGUUUCCUUAAAAACUUCUCUUGGGGGAGAAAUUUUAUUCAGGAUUGCAUUGGGUCUAUGGAUUGAUUUGCAGAGAAUUGAAAUCUUUAAAAUUGAAUCUUUUAAUUCAUGGACAUAUAUCCCUUUAUUUAGGUUGUGGUUUUGCACAUUUUAGCAUAGAUGUAUUCUGCACCUUUCUUUAGAUCUAUUACUAUAUAUUUGAUAUUUUUAAACCCUAAAGCUAAUUUUUUCUGCUUUUUCUUAUAGAGAACUCUAACCUUUAUAAGCUGUAGGUUCUAUAAAAUCUCGUUCUGUCACUGGGCAGAAUGUUUUCACUUACAUGAAUGUUGAAAAUCACGUGGGAAGCUAGUCAUUUCUUAAUUGUGCAGGACAGACUUCUGUUUACAAGCUUCCUCUUAGCCUCCCACGUCACUAGAAUUACAGAUGUGAACCACCACACCUGGCUAGUUUUUGUAUUUUUAGUAGAGACGGGGUUUUACCAUGUUGUCCAGGCUGGUCUUGAACUCCUGAGCUCAAGCAGUCCAUCUACAUCAGCCUCCCAAAGUACUAGUGUUACAGACAUGAACUACUGCGCCCAGGCUGGUUUUAUUUUUUGAUAGUCCAAAUUUUCCAGUAGUUUUUUUUCUCGUUGUUGUUGUUAUUUUGAGAUGGAGUCUUACUCUGUUACCCAGUCUGGAGUAUAGGGAUGUGAUCUCGGCUUACUGCAAACUCUGCCUCCCAGGUUCAAGCAAUUCUCCUGCCUCAGCCUCCCAAGUAGCUGGGAUUACAGGCACAUACCACCAUGCCUGGCUAAGUUUUGCAUUUUUAGUAGAGACAGGGUUUCACCAUAUUGGCCAGGCUGGUCUCAAACUCCUGAUCUCAAGUUAUACACCUACCUCGGCCUCCCAAAAUGUUGGUAUUACAGGCGUGAGCCACCACGCCUGGCCUCAUUGUUGCGUUUAUUUGUUUAUUACUAUUAUUUUUUGAGACGAAGUUUCACUCUUGUUGCCCAGGCUGGAGUGCAAUGGUGCGAUCUCGGCUCACCGCAACCUCCACCUCCUGUGUUCAAGCGAUUCUCCUGUCUCAGCCUCUUGUGUAGCCGGGAUUACAGGCAUGCACCACCCUUGGCUAAUUUUUUUCUUUUUGAGACAGAGUUUUGCUCUUGUUACCCAGGCUGGAGUGCAAUGGCGCGUUCUCAGCUCACUGCAACCUCCGCCUCCUGAGUUCAGGCAAUUCUCCUGCCUCAGCCUCCUGAGUAGCUGGGAUUACAGGCACGUGCCACCAUGCCCAGCUAAUUUUUUGUAUUUUUUAGUAGAGACGGGGUUUCACCAUGUUGACCAGGAUGGUCUUGAUCUCUUGACCUCGUGAUCCACCCGCCUCAGCCUCCCAAAGUGCUGGGAUUACAGGCUUGAACCACCGUGCCCAGCCUAAUUUUGUAUUUUUAGUAGAGACGGGUUUUCGGCAUGUUGCCCAGGCUGGUCUCAAACUCCUGACCUCAGAUGAGCCACCAUGCCCGGCUAAGAUAGGCAUUUUAGUUAGAUUAUUAGGUUUGUUUUCUUCCUUCCCUCCCUCCCUUCCUUCCUUGUUUCUUUCCUUCUUUCCUUCGUUAGUUCGUUUCACAAUGUCACCAAGGCUGGAGUGCAGUGAUGCAAUCAUGGCUCAUUACAGCCUUAACUUCCCAGGCUCAAUGAGCCACGCGCCUCAGCCUCCCAAAGUGCUGGGAUUGCAGGUGUGAGCCACCGUAUCCAGCUAGUAGUUUAUUCUUUUUUAUUCCCAAAUAUUUCAUUGAAACAAUCUGCAUAUCCAGUCUCCUGUUGAUGAACGUAUAGGUUCUUUACAGCUUUUGGCUUUUAUGAAUAAAGUUGCUAUGAACAUUUUUCUUUUCAUGGACAUAUAUUUUUAUUUCUCUCUCUCUUUUCUUUUCAAAUGUAGAGACCAGUCUCCCUUUGUUGCUCAUGCUGGUUUCGAACUCCUGGCUUCAGGCAGUCCUCUUGCCUCAGCUUCCCAAAGUACUGGGAUUAUCGGGAUGAGCCACCACACCCAACCCCAUUUUCAUUUAUUUGGGGGUACAUAUGUAGGAGUGGAAUGGUAUGUCUUAGAGUAGGCAUAUGUUUAUCUUUGUAACUGCCAAUUUUUCAAAGCAAUUGUAUCAGUUUAUAUUCCCACUAACUGAGGCAGGCAGAUUCUAAAGUGGCCCCCAUGAUCCCUUGUCUCCUAGUAUUUAUGGCUGAGUAGUCCUGUGCCCUUGGGUGCAGGUGAGACCUAUGAUUGGCUCCUGACUAAUAGAAUAUGGCAGAGGUGACAGGACAUGUGUGGUCAUGUAUACCUGAUUAUUCUGAGUCAGAUUGUAAUACCCAUUUUGUGAGGAGCCUCUCUCCCUUGCUGGCUUUGGUGUUGUGUUGUGAGCUGCCUAUGGAGAGGACCCUGUGGCAGGGAGCUCAGAGCAGCCUCAAACCCACAGCCAGCCAGAAACUGUGGCCCUCAGUCCAGCAGCCCACAAGGAACUCUGAGUAUUGCCAGCAACCAUGUGAGCUUGGAAGCAGAUACUAUCCCACUCAGCCCUCAGAUGAGACCUUAGUCCCAGCCAACACCUUGACGGCACCUUAUGAAGGACUCAGCUAAGCUGUGCCUGGGCUUUUGACCCAUAGAAUCUGUGAGAUAAUAAACAUGCAUUAUUUUAAGCGGCUGCUACGUUUUUGCCAGUGUUGUUAUGCUACAAUAGAUAACUAAUACUAGCAAUAUAGCUCCUGUUGCCCUACAUCUCCACUGACAUUUAGUGUCUGUCUUUUAAAUUUUAGCCAUGUUAGUGGGUAUGAAAUGGAAACCCUGAGGCUUUUAUUUGCAUUUCCCUAAUGACAUUGAAUAACUGCUAAUUGGACAUUUGGAUAUCUUCUUUUGUGAAGUAUCUGUUCAAGUCUCUUUCCUAUUUUAAAAAUUGGUAGGCCAGGCUCGAUGGCUCAUAUCAGUAAUCUCAGCACUUGGGAGGCCAAGGUGGGCGGGUCACCUGAGCUCCAGAGUUUGAGACCACCCUGGGCAAUAUGGUGAAACCUCGUCUCUGCUAAAAUACGAAAUACUAGCUGGGUUUAGUGGCAGACACCUGUAGUCCCAGCUACUCGGGAGGCUGAGGCAUGAGAAUCAUUUGAGUUCAGGAGGUGGAGGUUGCAGUGAGCCAAGAUCACACCACCACACUCCAGCUUGGGCUACAGAGUGAGACUCUGUCUCAAAAAAUAUAAAAUAAUAAUAAUAGGUAUGUUUGUCUUUUUAUAAUUUAUUUGUAGAAGUUCUUUAUAUAUGGCAGGUUAAGUUCUUUAUCAGAUAUAUGUAUGUGUCUGCAUGAAUGUAUGUUGUAUGUUUGUGUGUAUAUCUUAUAUAGUUUUCUUCUAGUCUGAUGGGGAGGAACUUGCACAUUCCUCUCACCUUAUGCAAAUUUCCAAACUGUUCACAUUUUACUGCAUUUAUUAUGCUAUUUCUCUCUCUAAGUCAGUUUUUUUUCUGGGUCAUUUGAGACCAUGUUAUGCACAUACUGCCCUAUCACCCUUAAAUAUUUUAGUGUUUAUUUCCCCCCAAUUAAGGGCACUCCCAAAUAACCACUAUAUACCCCUUUAAGUCAGGUAAUUAGCAGCGAUAAAACCCUGUUGUCCUGUCCAUAGACCCCAUUCACAUUUUGCUGCCCCAACUAUGUCUCAUUUCUGUUUUGUCCCAGGAUCCUGAGAGGAGUGUGCAUUGCACCCAGCUGUCACGUCUCUUCACAUCCUCCAGUCUAGGAUCAUCCCUUUGUCAUUCCCGGUCAUUCUUGUCCCAAUCGUUUCAUAUUCUGUAGGAUGAUUGGCAAGGAGGUGGAUCGUGUAGUAUUUACUUAAGACCAAACUCAGGUCAUGAUUUCUUGACAGAAGUAUCACAAAGAUGAUGCAGUAAUAAUCUCAGCACAUCACAUCAAGGGGGGCACGUUAUGUUAACCAGCCCUGUUACUGCUGUUGUUGGCCCUGAUCACCUGGUCAUGUUGGUGUCUGCCAGGUAUUUGUUUUUCUUACUGUAAUGCCAUUAUUUUUCCUUUCUUCCUUUCCUUUUUCUUUUCCUUUUUCCUUUUUUUUUUCCUGAGAUGGAGUCUUACUGUAGCCCAAGCUGGAGUGCGGUGGCGUGAUCUUGGCUCACUGCAACCUCCACCUCUGGGGCUCAAGCAAUUCUCCUGCCUCAGCCUCCCAAGUAGCUGAGACUACAGGUGCACACCACCAUGCCUGGCUAAUUUUUUUGUAUUUUUAGUAGAGACAGGGUUUUGCUAUGUUGCCCUGGGUGGUCUUGGACUCCUAAGCUCAGGCGAUCUACCCACCUCAGUCUCCCAAAGUGCUGGGAUUACAGGCAUGAGCCGUCGCACCCGGCCUGUUUUUCUUUUCAUAACUGAUGAGUGUUUUGUGUGGAGACAAUUUGCGAUUAUGCCAAUAUCCUGUUCCUCCUUGAACUUCAGUCAGUCACCACUAUGUAGUUGCCAAAUGAUGAUUUUUUUGUUUGUUUUCAUUAAUCCUUCUACAUUUGUACAUUGGCCUUCCAAUAUCAGCUCAUUGCAACCUCUACCUCCUGAGCUCAAGUCAUCCUCCCACCUCAGUCUCCCAGGUAGCUGCUACCACAGACAUGCACCACCACACUAGCUAAUUUUUGUAGUUUUUGUAGAGAUGGGAUUUUGCCAUGUUGCCCAGGCUAGUCUUGAAUUCCUGAGCUCAAGUGGUCUACCCACCUCAGCCUCCCAAAUGCUGGGAUUACAGGCAUGAGACACCAUGCCUGGCCUGUAUCUGUUUUUUUUUUUUUCUUUUGAGAUGGAGUUUCAGUCUUGUUGCCCAGGCUGGAGUCCAGUGGCACAGUCUUGGCUCACUGCAACCUCCGCCUUCUGGGUUCAAACAAUUUUCCUGCCUCAGCCUCCCUGGUAACUAGGAUCAUAGGCAUCCACUACUACACCUGGCUAAUUUUGUAUUUUUAGUAGAGAUGGGGUUUCACCAUGUUGGUCAGGCUGGUCUUGAACUCUUGACCUUACGUGAUCUGACUGCCUUGGUCUCCCAAAAUACUGGGAUUACAGGCAUGAGCCACCGUGCCUAGCCUAUUUCUUUAUAUAUCUUAAAAACCAUGUAUUCAGACUUAUAUCUUAAAUUUCAUUGUAACAUUUUAGAGUUUUCUCCAGCCUAAGCCCAUUGCAUGUUUGUAGGUACCUCUUCCAAGUGUGAGAAAGCUGGCUUUCAUUUUCCUCAAUGUAUUUAUUUAUUUGCUCAUUGCAACUGGUCUUCCAACUACCCUGACCUUGUCUUCUGUCUGCCAUAUCUGCAUGUGCCCUCACACCCCCGCCCCAGCACCCUGUGUCCUUGAGCACUAGUAGGUGGAAGCAGGAAAACAAACGUGUAAACUUCAUAACAAUGACUCAUAAGACAGUAGAGGUGGAAACAAGAAGCCGAUUCACUCUGCAAAAUCAUAAGUAGUAUUUGUUCCAUUAUCUACUGUUGUAUAAAAAAGCCUCUCCAAAAGUUAUCACUUAAAAUAAGGGCAGAACUGUAUUUGGGCAGAGCUCAGCAAUAAUACUCAAUUCUCUCUGCGGCACUCAAGCUAAGUGGGCUGGUUCAAAGUUGGAGGGUCCAGGGGCGGAGGCUAGAAUCUUGUGCAGGCGUCCUUACCCAUGUGAUGUCUGGCGGCUGAUGCCAGCUAUUAGCUGGGACCUCUGUGAGGACUGUGGCUGGAACACCUGUCGUGGCCUUUCCAAGUGGCUGCUUGGCUUCCUCACAGUACAGUGGCUGGGUUCCAAAGGCAGGCAUCACACAAGCAAGAGUGAGCCGGUGGAAGCCUCAAUGCCUGGCCUCCCCUAGCCUUUAAAGUCACAUGGCCUCAUUUCUACUGCAUUCUGCUGGUUAGAAGGAAGUCACCAAUGCCAGCCAUAUUCAAGGAGAGGGUAAUUUGUUUCCACUUUUGACAGAGAAGACUGUCAAAGAAUUUAUGCAUAUGUUUUAAGACUGGAACAGAAUUUUAAAAUAUUGUUUUCUGGAUGAAUGGAAGAUUCAUUUUUAUAGUUGCAUUUGUCCAAUAUUUUAAAUUCAUUUUGUUUAAAAGUUUUAAACACUUAUAUCUACUAGUACAUAGAUAUGCUUGCCCCAUUUCCCUUUCUCUUCACUUUCUCUUUUUGCAGAACACUCUGAUGCCAGCUAACUCAUGUAUGCAUCUGUUCAUGCUUUUCUUCAUUCUUGUGUAAUACAGAAAUGUAUAUACACAUACAUACAGUGGGUUGGGAAUAUUGUUUUUAAAAAAUAGAAUCACAUUAAAACUAAUUGUUACACCUUUUCUGAACACCUUGGCGAAAUCUCUAUAAAUCAGGAUAUUUUGUUCUAAUUUUUUUUUAGACGCUGUGCAUAUUCUAUUUUCUGAUUUGGUUAUUUGAUCAUGAGGGGAUAGGAUACCGGACUGGGGGAAUAGGAAUAGACAGGGACAGGCUUCAAAGAAAGAGUAGUCAGGAAUGAGAAAGAGGAGGAUUAUUAGGUAUUCCUGGGGUCCUCAACCUGAUAUGUCAUUGAAGGAGAUGGGAAGUUGGGAAAAUGGUGGUGGGGAGGUGUGUUGGUUGGUUUUAGCAGGGAAAUGAAUAUUUUUUUGUAUGCACUAAAAUUACCUAGCAGGCAGUUAAAUACAUAGGAGCAGGGCGUGAGUCCAAGGAUAGGACUAGAGUUGAUAGACAAAGCUAUAAAGAGAGAUGGUUAAUGGCGGGAGAGCUGUGUCUAGCCUAGCAUCACGUACUGUUAGUGGUGGGCCCAGACAGUGACUGAAAGGGCUUCAUUACAGACCAGGGCCCUGUGUAUUUAUACUUUAUACAUUAAGUUCUGAUCUUUAAAAAGCUGUCAGUUUUUUAAGGAGAGUUUUUAUUUUCAUUUUUUAUGGUGUAGGCCAAAGGAAUCUUUUGCUAAAUAUAACAGUGUGAAUUUGCUAGUCUUUCUGAGACAUUGAAGGCAUUUAAAAUUUGAAACCAGAGCUACCUGAUGAGAACAUCCUUGAUCUCCAAAUCAAACCAGCCUAGGUCAUGUGUAAUAAUUAGUUCAAUUGAAUGGUUGAAGAAGGAUUUCUUUCUCUUCCCCUUUUAUAUUACAGAGGAGAUCUGCAGUACAGCUAGAGAAGGCAUGUAGAGUGAACAGGACAGACAUGUGAUUCUGACCCUGAUAAGCACUCUGCUUCUGUUGGGUUUAUUUAUUUAUUUUAUUUUUAUUUUUAUUUUAUUUUUGAGACUGAGUCUUGCACUGUUACCCAGGCUGUAGUGCAGUGGCACUAUCUCAGCUCACUGCAGCCUUCUCCUCCUGGGUUCAAACAGUUCUCCUGGCUCAGCCUCCCAAGUAGCUGGGACUACAGGUACCCACCGCCACGCAUGGCUAAUUUUUUAAUAUUUUUCCCAUGUGGCUUGAUUUUCCUUUUUAAUCUUCGAUAGAUUAGAGAUGAAGAUUAGUAGAUUUAGUAGAUACGGGAUUUUACCAUGUUGGCCAGGAUGAUCUUGAUCUCUUGACCUCAUGAUCCACCCGCCUCGGCCUCCCAGAGUGCUGGGAUUACAGAUGUGAGCCACCGCACCCUGCCUGCUUUAUUUAUUAUUAUCAUUAUUUUUUAUUUUGAGACAGGUCUCACUCUCUUGCCCAGGCUGGAGUGCAGUGGCGUGAUCUUGGCUCACUGCAACCUCUGGCUCCCGGGUUCAAGCAAUUCUCCUGCCUCAGCCUCCCAAGUAGCUGGGACUACAGGUGCACACCACCACAUGCCUGGCUAAUUUUUGCAUUUUUAAUAAGGAAGGGGUUUCACCAUGUUGGAUAGGCUGGUCUGGAACUCCUGACCUCAAGUGAUUCAUCUACCUUGGCCUCCCAAAAUGCUGGGAUUAUAGGCCUGAGCCACUAUGCCCAACCAAAUUUACUAUUGUUAAAAAUACUGGUGGCUGGCCAGGCAUAGUGGCUCAUGCCUGUAAUCCCAACACUUUUGGAGGCCAAGGUGGGUGGAUCACGAGGUCAGGAGUUCAAGACAAGACUGACCAAUAUGGUGAAACCCUGUCUCUACUAAAAAUACAAAAAAAUUAGCCAGACGUAGUGGCACGUACCUAUAGUUCGAGCUACUCAGGAGGCUGAGGCAGGAGAAUCACUUGAACCGGGAGGUGGAGGUUGCAGUGAGCCAAGACCACGCCACUGCGCUCCAGCCUGGGUGACAGAGCGAGACUGUCUCAAAAAAAAAAAAAAAAAAAAAAAUACUGGUGGCCUUGAAAUCAGUGUAAAAUAAUAAUGUCAUCUUUUUAGGAAUAAAAAAAUCUUGUUCUCCCCAUGCCCCACCAGCUGUAGGAAAAUGGAGAGAAAUGGUUGUUAUUUUCUCCUUGUAGGUUGGAUUACCAAAACCCAGAGUGAGAUGACCUGUGAACUUUAUUUUAUUUUAUUUUAUUUUAUUUAUUUAUUUUUGAGACGGAGUCUUACUCUGUGUCCCAGGCUGGAGUGCAGUGGCACGAUCUUGGCUCACUGCAACCUCCACCAACCAGGUUCAAGCCAUUCUCCUGCCUCAGCCUCCCGAGUAGCUGGGAUUAAAGGCAUGAGCCACCAUACCCAGCUAAUUUUUGUAUUUUUAGUAGAGAAUGGGUUUUACCAUGUUGGCCAGGCUGGUCUGGAACUCCUGACCUCAAGUGAUCCAUCUGCCUGGGCCUCCCAAAGUGCUGGGAUAUAGGCAUGAGCCACCAAGCCUGGCCAACUUGUGAGUUUUAUAUAAAUGGUACAGUUGAAAUGAUGAAAGUCCUUAAGAUUUAAUUUUGAUUAGGGGAAGUGAGUGAAAGGUGCUGCUCUUACUGGUUUUCCCUGUAGUCUGUUUGGUCAUUUUUCAGAUAAUUUCAACAGAAUGUGGGAUGUCAAUUAUAUGUAAAGUACACGGAGAAAGCUGCAAAGAUGUGUGUGACUCUGGCAUGUCCUUAGAGAGCUCCCCAUCUUCCUGUGAAUGGCUCACUGCAAGAGAGAGCAGAUUGUAAUAAAUAACAAUUAGAGUUACAUGGGAUGUGAUUCAGGAGAAAAGGGCAUUAGUUCCUUUAGAAUCUAGAAUUUGACCUGGAAUUCUUUGGAUUUUUUUUUUUUUUUUGAGGCAGAGUCUGGAGCUGGAGUGCACUAGUACGAUCUCAGCUCACUGCAGCCUUCACCUCUUGAAUUUAAGUGUUUCUCCUGCCUCAGCCUCCCCUGUAGCUGGGAUUACAGGUGUGCGCUAUGAUGCCUGGCUGAUUUUUUGUAUUUUUGUUUUUUUUUUCAGUAGAGACAGGGUUUCAUCAUGUUGGCCAGGCUGGUCUUGAACUCUUGACCUCAAGUGAUCCACCCACCUCGGCCUCCCAAAGUGCUGGGAUUACAGGUGUGAGCCACCACACCUGGCUGGAAAAUUUUUUAAAGGUACGAAAAUAGAGAAAGGUGUAUAAUUAAUCUCUAUGUACUCACCACCGAGGUUUAUUAUCAGCUCAGGGGCAGUGCUAUUUCAUCUGUGCUCCCAUCCCCUGCCCCCUACCCCACCCCCAGAUUAUCUUGAAGCAAAUCCCAGACAUCAUCACAUUUCUUUUGUAAAAAUUUUGAUAUAUGUCUUCAAAAGAUAGGGAUACUUUAAAAAAUAUAUAAUCACAAUACCAUUGUCUCUCCUAAAAUAAUUAACAGUAAGUCCUUAAUUUUAUUUGAUUUGCAGUCACUUGAGUUGGAAUUUACAUAGAGAAAAUUUUAAUAGAUGGUGAAUGGGAGAAAGGGAACUCAGAUAGAGGGAAUAACACAUGCAAAAUCAGGAACUGUGUGUAAGUGAAAGGUAAUAAAAGUCUAAUUUAAGGCUGUGGCACUGGGUGGAAAGGAAAUUACAGAUAUCAGUCACACAGAGGUAAACUUAAUGGAAUUUUCCAGUUGAGGACAGCACGUAUAUCUUCCUUCUAUUUCUGGUUAACAGUAGUCAUUUUGAACCCUUUAGAACAGGGUUGACAAACUAUGGUUUGUAGCCCAAAUCCUGCUCUCAGCCUGUGUCUGUAAAUAAAGUUUUACUGGAAUACAACCACACCCAUUUGUUGAUGUACUGUCACCCCACAAUAGGCAGUCAAGUAGUUGCACAGAGACUCUAUGACCUGUAAAGCCCAAAAUACUUAUUCUGGUUCUUUAUAGAAAAAGUUUGCCAGCCUCUGAUCUAGAAGGAAAUGGGCCCUGGAUUUAGUGCUUGCUCUCAGAGGAGUUGCGUAGUGUGUGUCGAUUAGAAACAGCCAUGUCUUUGUGAUAUAUAGGAGUCAGAAGCAGUGGAUUUUGUUUUGCUGUCUUUAUCCUUCAUUUUAUAGCCUGAGAAAGUAAGUCUAAGAAUCUCUCUGCCUGUUUGAUUAUUAUUUGUUUUUAUAUUGUAAAUGUAAGCUCUAUGAAGUCAGAGGGUUUUGUUUUUUCUUCACUACUCCAUUGGCAGGGACACUUAGUAGGCAUUCAGUAAAUAAUUGUUGAAUAAGUAAGGAAAUAUUUUCAUCUUUUUGCAUCUCUUCUGUAUUUUAUACAUUUAGAGUUUCUUGGGGAACAAGGAUGGUAUAUUUGUAGGUGGCAAUUAUGCUAUUAUGUAAAUGUGUUAUAAUUUUCCCCCAAAGUUUAGAAAAUUGUUUGAUUAGUACAAUGGAGUAUUAAGCAGCAGUUAAAACUAGUAAUUAUGAGAACUGUAGAAAUGAGGAGAAAUGUUUAUGACAGGUCAAAAUCUUAUGCACACUGCCUCCCUAAAAUACGAAUAAAUAUGCACAGAGACCGGAAGGUAAUGUGAAAAUGAAAUCGUUUUAAGACAGUGGAGUUUUUGGUGGUUUUUCUCUCCAAAGUUUUCUUUAAUACUAUUGCUUACUCAUCUUUUCAGUAAUGAUUUUAAAUAUGUAUAAACUUCCCAUGCCCUUCCCUGCACUAUAUAUAGAAAUAGAAUCUUUAGUGUGGAUCACAAAUAACACAAUAAUAGAAAUUAGAGAUGGUAUUAAAUCUCAGCAUUGGUAAGGUGAAUAGACAUUAUGGAUAAUGUUCUAUUUUAUCCUGAGAUACACAGCUAUGGUAUACUUUCUGGGAGGAGUAUGUCUAUAAGCAUCCUUGGUGGGAACCUGAAUUGGGUUUACAAGCUUACAUUUGGAUAAAAACCUUUUUAUUUGAGAUGAAACCUGUACAGGCAUGGUAGAAAGGUGUGACCUGAGUGAGAAUGUUUGGGUUUUCUCAAAGCAGCAUUCCUCCCUUCCUCUUAUUCUGGCCAGUUUUUCCACAGCGUCAUGCAAAGGCAGCAUUUUCUAGUGGAUGCAAGUCAUUUGAAGUAGUUAUUUGGUUUUCUUCUCAUUUCACUUUUAGCCUGCCUUGAAAAAUGUAGCUCAGGCCUGGCACUGUGGCUCAUCCCUAUAAUCCCAGCAUUUUGGGAGGCUAAGGUGGGAGGAGUGCAUGAGUCCAGGAGUUCAAGACCAAUCUGGGUAACAGAGGGAGAACCUAUGAAAAAUAAAAAAUAAAAAAACGGCCAGGCAAGGUGGCUCAUGCCUGUAAUUGCAGCACUUUGGGAGGUCGACAUGGGCAGAUAACUUGAGGCCAGGAGUUCCAGACCAGCCUGGCCAACAUGGUGAAAUGGUGAAACCCCGUCUCUACUAAAUAUACAAAAAUUAGCCAAGCAUAUCGACAUGUGCCUGUAAUCCUAGCUACUUGGAAGGCUGAGGCAUGGGAAUCACUGAAGGGGGAGUGUGGGGGCGGGGUGGAGGUUGCCAUGAGCUGAGAUCAUGGCAGUCGACUCCAGCCUGGGCAGCAGAAUAAGACUCUAUCUCAAAAAAUAAAAUAAUUAGGCGUAGUGGUGCCUGCCUGUAAUCCCAGCUACAGGGUGGAGGUGAAGAGGUAAGCUGAGGUGGGAGAAUGGCUUGAGCCCAACAGGUUGAGGCUGCAGUGAGGCAGGAUCACACCACUGCACUGCAACCUGUAUGACAAAGUGAGACCCUGUCUCAGAAAAAAAAAAAAAGUAGAUAAAUCCUUUCUUUGUACCUCAGUUCCUCCACAUGCAAAAUUGUGGUUCUUUAUACAUCUCCCAAGGUUGUGUGGUGAGUUUGCUGCUAAAUAGGUUUUUGUGUUUCUUCUACCAAACUACAUUUCCAGGAUAUCUGCAGUUGGUGUUUAAGCCAUUGCUGCUGGGCUUCAUGGAAACAUUCUUGCCCUGGGCAGGAAUUUUGCAGCACAAAACAAAAUACAAAAUAUUUGACCCUUUCAGAAGCUUACUCCUUAAGGGAAUACUGCCUCCCAGGUUUAGCAGAGAGGAAGAUGAAGUACGUGUUCUCAUUUCGUUCAAAGUGAAACCCGUACACUGUUCAGUGGUUUAUGAGUCUAUGUGAAAUGAUUGCCUGUGGACAGCACCCUCCACCAGUUGACCACCUACUACUUCCUCCCUUGUCAUUCCCUUGCAGCCACAGAGGCUUCUUUGCUCUUUCCUGAAAAUGUCAGUUAUGAUCUGUCUUGGUCUCUGCACUGCCUCUGCCAGAUAGACUCACAGUUCGUUUUCACUCCUCCUCAAAGUGUUUGCUCAUGUGUCACCAUCCCAGUGAGACCUGUCUGUGCUUUCCACAUUAUUCCUGCUUCCCUUUCUCCAUAGCACUUGUCAGCUGCUAACACUCUAUAUCCUUUUCUUGUAUACUGUGUUGGUUGUUUACUGUCUCCCUGUUUCCAACCAGAAUGAAAGCCAUGAUUUUUAUUGAUUUUGUUCACUGUUCUAUCUCCGGAAGUUAGAUUUGGGUCAGCCACAUAGUAUGUGCUUGGUAAGUAUUUGUUGAAUGAAUGAGAUGGCUGGGAUACUGAGUUUCACCUUCUGCUUCGAAUUCUUUUACUUAUAUGAUUGUUACUACUAUACCACAUUGGCCAGGGAUGCUCUCUUCCCCCUUUAAUGAGCAAGGACAAAAAAGCAUCAUCUCUUGGUUCUUCCUUAGCAUAACUGAGAUAGGCUGGAGAGUUCAAGAAAAUGUUUUGAGGGCUGGGCGCGGUGACUCAGGCCUGUAAUCCCAGCACUUUGGGAGGCCCAGGCGGGUGGAUCACGAGGUCAAGAGAUUGAGACCCUCCUGGUCAACAUGGUGAAAUCCGUCUCUACUAAAAAUACAAAAAAUUAGCUGGGCACGGUGGCGCGUGCCUGUAACCCCAGCUACUCGGGAGGCUGAGGCAGGAGAAUUGCCUGAACCCAGGAGGCUGAGGUUGUGGUGAUGAGCUGAGAUCGCGCCAUUGCACUCCAGCCUGGGUAACAAGAGCAAACUCCAUCUCAAAAAUAAAAAAUUUUAAAAAAAAGAAAAUGUUUUGAGUACUAAGAACAGUAGAGAAACCAGCAUAGAGAAUGCAACAAGUAUUACAACAGUCUGGCUUAAUCACAUUUCACUCUUGGAUCUGCCACAUCUUGCUUGCUCUCAUAUUUUGCAGGCCCCAUCCUAAUCUAUCCACUUAGGAGAAAUCAAAUUCCAGCUUCAUAGGACUAGUCCUGACCUUGCCUUGAUGCCCUGCAUGUGGCACCAUCUCAUCUGCUACUAAGGAGCUCCCUUUUGUACAAAAGGAUGUACACAGUGUACAUCAUGACAGCUGCCAACUAGAGAACCCAACAAGGCCCAUUUUCUAGUUUGAGCGUUGUGUUAGUCUGCAUGGGCCACCAUAACAAAAUGCCACAGAACGAGUGACUUAAACAAGAAACAUUUUCUCACAGUUCUGGAGAUUGGAAGUCCAAGAUCAAGAUGCCAGCAGGGGUUGGUUUCUGGUGAGGCCUUUCUUCUUGGCUGCAGUCAGGCGUGUUCUAGGUGUGUCUUCACGUGGCCUUUCCUGUGUGCACAGAGAGCAUACCUAAGCUCUUGUGUCUUCCUUUAAUAAGGACACCAGCCCUGUCAGAUUAAGUUCCCACUCUUCUGACCUCAUUUAACCAUAUUACAUCUUUAGGGUACUAUCUCCAAAUACAGUCACUUUGGGGAUUAGGGCUUCACAAUAGGAAUUUGGGAUCAGGUACAGUGGCUCCUACCUGCAAUCCCAGAGUUUUGAGAGGCCAAGGUGGGAGAAUCAUUUGAGGCCAGGAGUUUUAAACCAGCCUGGACAUCAUAGCAAGACCCCCCCAUCUCUACAAAAUGUUUUUUAAAAAGUAGCUGGCAGCCUGGGUAGUAAGAUCUCAUCUCUACAAAAAAAAAAAAAAAAAAAAGCCAGACAGGGUGGUAUGCACCUGUAGUUCAAGCUUCUUGGGAGGCUGAAGUGGGAUGAUCACUAGAGCCUGGGUAAUUGAGGCUGCAAUGAGCCAUGAUUGUGCCAGUGCACUCCAGCUUGGGUGACAGACAGAGGCCUUUUCUCAAAAAGAAAGAAGAGAGAAAGAAAAGAGAAAAAAAGGAAGAGUGAAAGAGAAAAAGAAAAGAAAGAAUUAGCUGGAUGUGGUGAUGUGUCUGUAGUCCUAGCUACUGGGGGCUGAGGCAGGAGAAUUGCUUGAGCCCAAAAAUUCAAGGCUGCAAUGAGCUAUAUUUGUGCCACUGUACUCCAGCCUAGAUGACAGAACAGCAAGACCCUGUCUCUAGAAACUAAACAAAACUAAGAAUUGUGGGAUGCUGCAAUUCAGUCUAUAACAAGUGUACCUCUUUGACUGGAACAAAUAACCUUAUGCUUCAGGUACUAUAUCUGACACAGAUACUAUGGCCUUCAUUCACUUUUUAAACUAGCAUUUAUUGAAGACAAAACUGUGUGCCAAGUUUUCUGCCGGGGGAUAGCCUGUACCCUUUACCAGUAGAGGAGACAGAGCCAAUUUCAGAGAAGGCUGGUGAGUACCUGGUGAUGGAUGGAUAUGUCAGGAAAAGUUUCAUUGAGAAGGUCGCUUAUGGCCAGGUGUGCUGGCUCAUGCGUGUGAUCCCAGCAGUUUGGGAGGUUGAGGUGGAUCACUAAAGCCAAAGAGUUCGAGACCAGCAUAGACAACAUAGACCCCAUCUCUAUUUUAACAAAAAAGAAAAGAAAAAGAGAAGGUCGCAUAUGUUCUUUCAGGUCUGUCAAGAAAUGUGAGCAUGGUUUACCAAACAGCAGUAUAUGAGUCACGUCACCGUCACUAUCAUCAUCACCCACCUUUAUAGUAAGAAGGUAGUUCCUUCACACUCUAACCUAAGCCCUUUUUCUUCGUCUUCACCUGGCUUUAGUUCUUCUGCUACAGUUACUCCAGCCUCUCUCCCCAGUCUUUAUCUUCCAGAUGUUCUGCUGUGUUGUUUCAACAGCCAAUGACUUUUCUGUUUACUGUUGAUUAUGAAGUGAAAAUUGAUUUUGAUUUUUGUCUGAUUUCUUAGUUUGAAUUGAACCUUUAGUUCUCUCUCCUUAUCUCCUAGCUUUCUACAAAGGCAAUUACUGGUGUUAAAUGAAAGUUGUUCCGUUAGAACCUACUGCUUGCCAUUAAUAAGUGAUAAGGGAGGUUGUCAGCCAGCAUUAAUACUCUGUUUAUGAAAUUACAACUACCGAUGGCAGCAUUUUGUGACGUUCUUAAGAUAUAAACAGGACAAGUGAUUUGAUAAGUUACAGCUCCAGAGAAUUCCUUACAUAGUAUGCCAACAUUUCUUUUUCCCUCAGCGGGAUACACGUAACAUUAAAUUAAGUUUGGCUUGGUUGCCAUUUACUUUAAACGGAUCUGGUGCCUGUUCUCAGAUAUGUUUAUGAGAGUAUAAUUGAUUUCUCUCAAAGCAUUGAGAUUGAGGAAGUAGCUAUAUCUUACCUUAAUUUCAUUGAUGAUUCAUGGAAUUGAAAUAAUUAAAAAGUACUCAUUAUGUGCCUUAUUGCUUCAUGACCCUUUGAUAAACUACCAACACUCUUACCAAAUGCCUCCUGAUUUAAAAAAAAAUUUUAUUUUUUUAAAUACAUAGACAGGUUCUUACUGUGUCACCCAGGCUGGAGUAUAGCGGCUUUCACAGGUGCAAUUAUAGCUCACUGCAGCCUUGCUCUCCUGGGUUCAAGGGAUCCUCCCGCCUCAGGUUCUUCAGUAGCUGGGACCACAGAUGCCUGCCACUGCGCCUAGCUAAGUGCCUCUUGAUGUUAAUGGAAUGUCUUGUCUUCAUAGCAUACUCCACAAAAACCUCAAAGCCUGAUAGAUACUCUUUAUGAUCCUUCUCUUUUCUGUAGUUUCUUUUUUUAAUUUUUAUUUUUUGAGACAGGGUCUCACUCUGGUUGCCCAAGCUGGAGUACAGUGAUGUGAUCUCAGCUCACUACAGCCCCUGCCUCCUGGGUUCAAGCGAUCCUCCCACCUCAGUCUCCUGAGUACCUGGGACUACAUGUGUGUGCCACCAUGCCCGGCUAAUUUUUGUAUUUUAGUAGAGAUGGGGUUUCGCCAUGUUGACCAGGCUGGUCUAGAACUCCUGACCUCAAGUGAUCUGUCCACCUUGGCCUCCCAAAGUGCUGGCAUUACAGACGUGAGCCUGCCUCAUCUAGUCCGUCAGCAGGAGCUGUUGAUUCUGAGCCCCUGCCUCCUGGGUUCAAGCGAUCCUCCCACCUCAGUCUCCUGAGUACCUGGGACUACAUGUGUGUGCCACCAUGCCCGGCUAAUUUUUGUAUUUUAGUAGAGAUGGGGUUUCGCCAUGUUGACCAGGCUGGUCUAGAACUCCUGACCUCAAGUGAUCUGUCCACCUUGGCCUCCCAAAGUGCUGGCAUUACAGACGUGAGCCUGCCUCAUCUAGUCCGUCAGCAGGAGCUGUUGAUUCUGAACCCUCCCCAUCCCUCGUAUUUCCCUUGCUCUCCUGUUGUCCACACUGCCCUGUCUUACCUGCAUCACACAGUAGCCAUCAGACUGAUCUGUUUCACUGCCUAUAUGCAGUUCUUCUCUACACAGCCGGAGAAGGCUGUGUAGAGAAGAGUGGUCUCUUUGAAAUGCAGAUCUGAUGGUUGCACUUACCUGCUUAAUAUCCUCCAAUAAAACCCAGACUUCUCCUGGCCUACAAGAUCCUGUUAGGCUUGGCCUCUGCCGGCUCUCCAGCCUGUCUCUUCCCCGCUUCGCCUGGUUCGCUGCAUGCCUGCCACAUGGCCUGCCUUCUGCUGCUUGGAUAGGAGAGACUCAGUCUCCUUAGGACCUUUAUGCUUGCAGUUCUUUGGAAUGCUUGGAUCUCACAAAGUUACAUGGCUGUCCCCUUGGUGUCAUUCGCGUCUCACUCAGCUUGGAUAGGCCUUUGCUGACUUCCCAGUUAGUCACAUGCCUUUAGUCACUUUCUUAAUAUUUUGCUUUAAACUUCUUUUUCUUUAACAUACCUUAUCUGACAUGAUUUUGUUCAUGUGUUUUACAGGAGAGGGGUUAUAUCUGUCUCUUUGUGACUGAGUUCUCAGUGCCUGAACAGUUCAUGACAUCCAGUAGACCCUUCAUAUAUAUUUGUUGAGUAAGUGACUGCUUUUUGCAUUGUGCAUGGGCCAGUGCCAGGGGUCGAGUUGUGGUGAACUGAGAGUACAUGGGCAAUGCUGAAUGAGGAAAUGAAAGUUAUCAAAAGCCUCUGGUGCCUUGCUUAUUCAUAUUAGAUUUGUUCAUAAUAACAAAAGCUGGAAAGAACCCAAAUGCCCAUCAACACAUGAAUGAAAAAGCUGUGGCUAUGAUUUAGCUAAAAAAGGAACGAGUACUGAUACAUGGUACAAUGUGGAUGAAUCUUGAAAGCGUUAUGCUGCAUGAAAGGAAGCCGAACACAGAAAAGCACAUACUUAGGAUUCCAUUUUUAUGCAAUUUUAGAAAAGACAUUUAAUCUGUAGUAAGAGAAAAGUGGCUAACCAGAGCCCAGGAUGGGAGAGGAUAGACUGGGAUAGAACACAAAGCUUUUAGGGUUAUGGAAAUGUUCUGUGUUUUAAAUGUGGUGGUGAUUACACAGGUAUAAAUUUGUCAGAACAUAACAAAAUGUACAAUUAAAUCCAUCAACUUUAUUGUAUAUAAACAAUUUACCAAAGUUGAACUGGUGUUGGACAUUUAAAUGUACUUUGGAUUUCUUUCGUUUACCUACCCACUUCUCAGGCAGAUUACUUUUUUUCCCCUUUUUUUGAGAUGGAGUCUUGCUCUGUCGCCAAGGCUGGAGUGCAGUGGCACACUCUAGGCUCACUGCAACCUCCACCUCCCAAGUAGCUGGGAUUACAGGCACAUGCCACCACACCUGGGUAAUGUUUGUAUUUUUGGUAGAUACAGCAUUUCAACAUGUUGGCCAGGCUGGUCUUGAACCCCUGACCUCGUGAUCCCCCUGCCUCAGCCUCCCAAAGUGCGGGGAUUACAGAAGUGAGCCACUGUGCCUGGCGACUUUCCUUUUAAUUUCAAGGUCUCCAGGCUACCUGCUGACUCAUCCUAGACGUAUUUGCAUUCCUGUUUCUGAAUCAGUUCCAACAUCCUUUGGGUCUCUUGUCCUCAAUCACUAGUUGACCAAACAUCUUUUUUUUUUUUUUUUUUGAGAUGGAGUCUUGCUCUGUCACCCAGGCUGGAGUGCAGUGAUCUUGGCUCACUGCAACCUCCAACUCCUGGGUUCAAGCAAUUCUCCUGCCUCAGCCUCCUGAGUAGCUGGGAUAACAGGCACUUACCACCAUGCCCGGCUAACUUUUGUAUUUUUAGUAGAGACUGGGUUUCACUAUGUUGGCCAGGCUGCUCUCAAACUCCUGACCUUGUGAUCUGCCCACCUUGGCCUCCGAAAGCUCUGGGAUUACAGGCGUGAGUCACCGUGCCCAGCUGGCAAAAAUAUCUUUCUAAUUGCAGAGUUAUUGGUUAUCUUCAGAUUUGCUAUUCAAACUUACUUACCAUCAAGUCAAGUUGGGUUUCAGCAUCAAAGACUAAGUACCUCCAACAGAAAUACGACGCUUUUACAACAUAGCAAGCAAGAAAAUAAAAAUGUGGCCUGGCGCGGUAGAUCACACCUGUAAUCCCAGCACUUUGGGAGGCUGAGGUGGGCAGAUUGGCUGAGGUCGGGAGUUUGAGACCAGCCUGACCAAAAUGGAGAAACCUCAUUUCUACUGAAAAUACAAAAUUAGCAGGGCAUGGUGAAUCGCGCCUAUAGUACUAGUUAUUUGGGAGGUGGAGGCAGGAAAAUCCCUUGAACCUGCGAGGUGGAGGUUGCAGUGAGCUGAGAUCGCAGCAUUGCACUCCAGCCUGGGCGAUGAGAGUGAAACUCCAUCUCAAAAAAAUUUUUUUGUAGCACAUGUAGUUUGACAGGAAGAUGUGAGAAGUGUAUAUUUUAAACUCUCAGUUUAGGUAUGAUGACUUGUGAACUUUGAUCAGACUUCCUCUUCAGAAAUCGUAUUCAUUAUGUUUAGGAUCCCUCCUGUUCCUGUUAAUACAGUAGCUGAACUGAAAGCUGUGUUGAGAUGUGGUAAACAGUUGACCAUCUCAUGAUCAAACUCUUGCUCUGACAUUAAUACACUUUAUUUUGUAUCAAGCCUAAUUUUCAUCUCUUAUUUUUCCUCCCGUUAGUUCCCAGAAUCACCCAGUCCUUUAUUCCUUUAUUAAUACUUUAUUUUACAAGCAAUAUAUGACCACAGUCUCAUAAAGUACUUAAGCAACACAUAGGGUAUGAUGUGAAAGUGCCACUGAAGCUCUCUUGCAUCUCUCCACCUCCCCAGACAAAAAUACUAUUAAGAAUUCAGCACACAUUCUUCCAGAUCUUUUCCUAAGCAUUGACAUAGGAUGUAUGUACAGAUACACAGACAUUGUCUACAUAAGCAGAAUCACUAUGAGUUGUUCAGCUAGUAAGAAUGUAUCUUGGGGAUAUUUCUGUUUUUGUACUUGCAGGUCUAUCUCAUACUUUUUAAUGGCUGCUUAGUAUGCCACAGAAUGGAGAAAACACAUUUUGUUUAACUAAUCCCACUAAAUGGACAUUUAUUUCUAAUUUUCUCUCUAACAGUCAAAAAAUAAAUUUAGAAAAUGCAAAUAUUUUGUGUUUUUAGGGUCUUUCAUUUCUUAGUUAUAUAAUUCUACCUUUUUAAAAAGCUUAUUAGAGUGGGAAGUGCCUCACGGAUACUGUAAUGUUAGAACUACACUGCCAGCACUUUGGGAGGCUGAGGCAGGCGGAUCACGAGGUCAAGAGAUCGAGCUCAUCCUGGCCAACAUGGUGAAAUCCCAUCUCUACUAAAAAUACAAAAAUUAGCUGGGUGUGGUGGCGCGCACCUGUAGUCCCAGCUACUUGGGAGGCUGAGGCGGAAGAAUCACUUGAACCCGGGAGGCGGAGGUUACAGUGAGCCGAGAUCGUGCCACUGCACUCCAGCCUGGCGCCUGGUGACAGAACAAGACUCUGUCUCAAAAAAAAAAAAAAAAAAAAAAACCACUGAAAACCUUAUUUCAGAAGAAAGAGUUGAAAGUGAGUUAAGUUCUCUGUGACUGUGAGCUUCAUUAGCAUUGUGUCUCCAGGGCUUUCUCUUUAGGUGUGAUUUUAAACCAAAAGCACCGUAAGUGGUUACAUAAUUUUCUUACGGUUUUUAUACCUCCUUAGUUCAAAAGAAGCAUACAUCUCUAUGGAUUAGAACUAGAACCCUGGACUAGGCUUGGUGACUCACACCUGUAAUCCCAGCUCUUUAGUGGGCUGAGGUGGGAGGAUCCCUUGCAUCCAGGAGUUAGAGACCAGCCCGGGCAACAUACAAACACUCCAUCUCUCAAAAAAAAAUACAAAAAUUAGCCGGGCAUCGUGGCUCAUGGCUGUGGCUCCAGCUACUUGGGAGGCUGUGGUGGAGAGAUUGCUUGAGCCUGGGAGGUCAAGGCUGCAGUGGGCUGUGAUUGUGCCAUUGCACUCCAGCCUGGGUAACAGAGUGAGACCCCAUCUCAACAACAACAAAAAGAACUAGAACAGUGACCUUUGGUUGUAACAUGAAAUCAGCAGUUGGUUAUAAUGGUUGCUUUAGGUUAAUAUUUUCCCAUGGAGCUGGAGCCAAGCAUUUGUCAAAAAUGUUUUUUCUCUCUCCCUUUUUCAAUUUGAAAUCCUGCUAAUACACUAAUUUCUGUGGAACUGCCAGCCUCUACUGGUGACCAGCUGUUGAUGGUUUAUUAGCACUCAAAAUAUUUAAAACAAACAAGAAACCUCUCUUCACAUCUCCUUGCCUUGUCUAUGAAGAUGCACAAAUAUGGAAAAGUUUGAUGUUUAAGCAGAAUUAGUUAUAUUUCAAGUAGACGGAUUUGAAUCUUUCAAAAACCCACAUGAGAUAAAUACAUUUCUUCAGCUCUGCUUUUCAGCAAAUAGACUGGUGAGCAGGCUGACAUUUGUCUUAGCUACCUAAGAAAGACCAAAAUUGCCUUCCUGUUCGGUUUUGCUUGUGUGCUUAGUUAUGAAACAGCCUGAGACCCUGUUUUCUUUUGUAUUAACUGACCUCGGUAUUAACCUCACCUUUCCUCCUCCUCUUUCUUUUUUUGGUUUCUGGUUUUCCUUUCCAAUUUGUUACAAGUAUGCUUAGAGCACAAAGGCAUUGCAGUUGAUAGAGAUGAUUAUGUUCUCUGGCAGUUUCAGUUUUCUUGACUUUAAGCUUUCUUCCUCUUAGACAAAUAAUAUAGGCAGCUGCCAUAUCUGAGGGUUUUAGAUUCUUGUUAACCUUUUAAUGUAUUAUAAUUAAGAUGAAUUUGAAAAGAAAACCAUUUCCUCUAUUUAAGAAUUGCCUUGGCAAGAAGUUGGAAAUCCUAGAACCUUGUUGCAAAGGAAUGUGUAGCUAUUUGUUAUGAAUGAGUCUGCUUAGGUCCAGUGAAACCUUCCUGUUGUUAAUGUGAAGUCAGAUAUCUUCAGUGAGGGAGAGACUGUUCUCUAAGGCAACGCAGCUAAAGCUCCAGGGGCAAAGGGCACAGCGAAUAAGCAGGGGCCUGUGUCAUGGAUUUUGUUCACUGAUCUGAAAGCAUUUGACUGCUCAUCUCAUGUUGCUGCUUUGCCCUUGGUCAUUAGAUAUUAGGUCUACUAUGGGUCAAUGAGACUGUCUACAGAAGGGUUCCAGUGCCCACCAGAAGUUGUUUGUAAAUAUGAAGUAUUGCAUAUUAUCUUUCCUAAGAUUGUCAGAACCUAGAAGAACUGCCUUUGAUUGAUGUUAGAAAGCUCUUAUGAGACAUAAAGUUCAUUUAAUAAUUCCACAAAUACUUACUGAGCAACUAUUCUGUAUCUGGCAUUUUCUAGGUUUUUGGAAAUAGAGUGGUGAACAAAAUAGAUGAACAUCUCUGCCUUCAUAGAACUUAGAUUCUAGCUGGGCACAGUGGCUCAUGCCUGUAAUCCCAGCACUUUGGGAGGCUGAGGCAGGAAGAUUACUUGAGCUCAGAAGUUUGAGACCAGCCUGGGCAAUAUGGUGAAAUCACAUCUCUACCAAAAAUACAAAAUAUUAGCAUGGUGGUGAGUGUCUGUGGUCCCAGCUAUUCAUAAGACUGAGGUGAGAGGAUCACUUGAGCCUGGAAGGCAGAGGUUAUAGUGAGUUGAGAUUGCACCACUGCCCUCUAGCCUUGGUGACAGAGUGAGACUCCAUCUUGGAAAAAAAAAACCUAGAUUCUAGUUGGGAAGACAUAUACUAAAUAAGAUAACACAAAUAAAUGGCAUUAUAUAGUGUAUUUGGUAGGGACCAAUGUUGGGCAGAAAAAAAAAUAAAUGGGGAAGAAGGAAGUGUCAGGAGUAGUACUGUGGCUUAAUUAUUAUUAUAAAUUGUUUCUUUUUGGAAACUAUAUGUAUUGUCUUUUGUAUUAAAACCAUUGCUCUGAGAAGGGGUCCUCUGACUUCUCCAGACCACUAAAGGGAUCCUGGCAUUGAAAAGGUUAAGGAGGCUGGGUACGGUGGGUCACACCUGUAAUCCCAGCACUUAGGGAGGCCAAGGCAGGUAGAUCACCUGAGGUCAGGAGUUUGAAGCCAGCCUGGCCAACAUGGUAAAAUCCUGUCUCUACUAAAAAUACAAAAAUGAGUCAGGCAUGGUGGCAGGCGCCUGUAAUCCUCAAGACUCAGGAGGCUGAGGCAGGAGAAUUGCUUGAAUCCCGGAGGGGUAGGUUGCAGGGAGCAGAGAUCAUACUCCAACCUGUGCAACAAGAGGGAAACGCUAUCUCAAAAAAAAAAAAGAAAGAAAGAAAAGGAAAGGUUAAGGACCCUGCAUUAGAGUUAGAAGACCAGCCCUCAACGUGUGAUUUAAAGAUGUUGUUUCCUCUUUGAUGCUUUAUGUGAUAAUGAUGUGGUAGACUUUCCACAUACCUCCCUAUUAUGUCUGGUAAUUGUGGCUUUAAAUCAUUUGAAGCUGUCAUUCACUGUUGAGGCUAGUGUUUGUAGGAUGUUUUUUCCAUUUGUGUUCUGCAGAACCCCAGGGUACUCUGAAGCUUUUUUUUUUUUUUUGGCACAUGUAGGGUCAUUUUAAACUUAAGUUUGGAUUAUUCUCAUCUGUGUUAGCCUAAACAAGUAAUCAGAUGCCUGGCUUUGAAGGCGGUAGAAGUAAAGAGAAUAGACUAAGGGGUUGAUGCAUACUUAUGGAACAUAAACAGCAUAGAUUUUUAACAGAUGCUAGAAACAGGUGAACCACUGAUUUAACCUGUUUUGUGUGUAUGUCACUGAGCCACUAUCAAGACCUUGAGCCUCUACCUAGUGUCUGUUUAAAGAUAAUUUCUAGCCAGGGGCUGGGUGCUAUGGUUCACACCUACAAUCACAGUACUUUGGGAGUCUGAGGUGGUAGGAUUACUUGAGCCCAGAAGUUCAAAACCAACCUGAGCAAAAUAAGGAGACCUUGUCUCUGCAAAAAAUGAAAAUUCAGCCAGGUGUGGUUGUGUGCGCUGGUUGUCCCAGCUCCUUGGGAGGCUGAGGUGGGAAGAUCACUUGAGCCUGGAAAGUCAAGGCUGCAGUGAGCCAUGACUGUCCCGUUAUAUUCCUGCCUGAAUGAUAGAGUGAGACCUUGUCUCUGAAAAAAUAAAAAUGCAAAGGAUAUUUUCAGGCCAGGCACAGUAGCUCACACCUGUAAUCCCAGCACUUUGGGAGGCUGAGGUGGGCCAAUCACCUGAGCUCAGGAGUUUGAGACCAGCCUGGGCUUGGGCCAACAUGGUGAAACCCCAUCUCUAUGAAAAAAAAGGAAAAAAAAAAAAAAAAUAUAUAUAUAUAUAUAUAUAUAUAUAUUCUGAGCUUGUUUUCUCAUUAUUUCCUUCUCUCCCUUCCCAGAUAUAUUUUUAGAGCAUCUGUGUCAGCUAGGAAUACAGAAACUAAAAAACAAAAACGUUCCUUGCUCUCCUGAUUGGGGAGAUACAGAUAACUGAAUAAUCUACUACAACAUAUUAUGUAUGGUAAGUGCUAAGAUAGAGGUAGGCUCAAGUGUCAGGGAGGCUCAACAUAGAAGUGGGAGGCCUGAGCUGAGUGGGAAUCGGGGGUGGCCCAAGAAGGCUUCCUGAACCAGUGGCACCAGAAUGGAUGCGGGAGAGGCCCCCUGCUCCCUGCUUGUCCUCUGCUCUCUUCUGAUGGGUAGUGUUAAUACUUUUUUGGUUUAAUGCAGGAUCACCAGACUCUGGGGCCCACCACCUGUUUUUGUGUAGCCCAUAAGGCAUACCUUUCUAAGUACUACAGCUGAAAAACAUCAGAAUAAUAAUGAUAUUUCAUGACAUGUGAAAUUAUAUGAAAUUCAAAUUUCUGUCUAUAAACCUCAUUGGAACACAGCCAUGCUCAUUCGUUUGUGUAUGCUCUGUGGCUGUUUUCCCUACAGUGGUAGAAUUGAACAGUUGCAUCAGAGAUCUUAAGGACUGCAAGGCCUGAAAUAUUUAGGCCCUUUACAGAGAAAGCUUGCUGACACCAGUUUUAAUGCUUUAACUGCCCUACUGAGAGGCAGGAGGCCGAAAAAAUGAUGAUAGUCAAAAGGAAUGCAUGAAAUCCUGUUAUCUUCUGUUAGCUGGUUGCAAGUAGUAUGCAGGAUAUAUUUGAGACAUCUCUUUUCCUAUCUCCCACCAAAGCUUAAUCAGGCACAUCUCAGCGCACAGGCACAGGCAUUUGCCUCAUUCUUGUUAUGUCCAUUUUGAAUUGAAUUAGGGGAAUAUUUUAAUAUCUCUCAAAAAGAGGGUAUCUAGUAUGAGUCAGAAUGAUUACAGAACAUGCUUUCCUGGAGAAUAGGAAAUAUGGGAUCCACUCCUGGUAUGCUGUUAGCUGAAGGACAUCAGAAUUGUCCUGUAACCUCCCUGCAGGUCUCUAAAUGGUGGGAUUGUUUGGUGAGUACACUAGAACAUCUCUAGACACCUUUCAGCUCAGUAGAGACAUUGCUGUAUGGUAGAAGGAGUGACCUGGGCGUGAAUCCUGGUUCUGUCGCUUUCUGCCCAGAAGACCUUGAGCAGCUUAUCUAAAUGCUGUGUACCUUUGUUAGCUCAUCUGAAAAUGUGGCUGUAAGAAUGACCUCAGAAGAAUGGAAUGAGAUCAUAUUCUUAAAACUCUUGGCUCUGGUCUGGGUGCUGUGGCUCAUGCCUGUAAUCCCAGCACUUUGGGAGGCUGAGGUGGGCGAUUUACAAGGUCAGGAGUUCCAGACCAACCUGACUAACAUGGUGAAACCCCAUCUCUACUAAAAAUACAAAAAUCAGCCAGGCGUGGUGGCACAUGACUGUAAUCCCAGCUACUCAGAAGGAUGAGGCAGGAGAAUUGCUUGAACCUGGGAGUUGGAGUUGUAAUGAGCCAAGACCGUGCCAUUGCCUGGGCAACAGAGCGAGACUCUGUCAAAAAAAAAAAAACACCUCUAUUAAAUACUAAUAGGUAUUUAAUCUACUAUAACUGUGAAAACUAUGUCUGUGAAUGCUUUUUUAUUUUCCAGCUCUGUCUGCUGGAACGCCUUACUUUUAUUCUUCUAACUUACUUAUCCUUCAGAGCCCAGUUCAGGAGACGUCUUCAUGAAGUCCCCCUCGCCUCAGCCCUGUGCUUCCAUAGGACCCAUGCACACCUCUCUCUGCUUCCCACUGUGUAUAGGCCCUACCUUCUCAUUUUAUUGUGCUUCACAGAUGCUGCAUUUUUUACAGAUUGAAGAUUUGUGGCAACGCUACAUCAAGUCUCCCCUACUUCAUGAGAUACAAUAUUGAAAUUGGACCAAUUAAUAAUCCUAUAAUGUCUUUUAAAUGUUCAAGUGAAAGGAAGAGUUACAUGUGUCUCGCUUUAAAUCAAAAGCUAGGAAUGAUUAAGCUUGGUAAGGAAGGAAGACAAGCCUUUUGGCCAAGACAAGCCAAAAGCCAGGCCUCUUGCAGCAGUUAACCAAGUUGUGAAUGUAAAAGAGAAGUUCCUGAAGGAAAUUAAAAGUGCUACUCCUGUGAAUGCCGGAAUGCUAAGAAAGCAAAACAGCCUUAUUGCUGAUGUGGAGAAAGUUUCAGUGAUCUGAAUAGAAGAUCAAACCAACCAUGACAUUCCCUGAAGCCAAAGCUUGAUUCAGUGCAAGAUCCUGACUGUCUUCAAUUUUAUGAAGGCUCAGAGAAGGCUGCAGUGUUUGAAGAGAAAAAACUUUGAAAAAUACUUUUCAAAGUUUGAAGCUAGCAGAGGUUGGUUCAUGAGUUUUAAGGAAAAAAGCAACAUAAAAAUGCAAGGUGAAGUAGCAAGUGCUGAUGCAGAAGCCGUAGCAAGUUAUCCAGAAGAUCUAGCUGUGGUAGCUAGAUGAUGGAACGAAGGUGGCUACACUAAACAACAGAUUUUCAAUGGAGAUGAAACAGUAUUCUAUUGGAAGAAGGUCCCAUCUAGGACUUUUAUAGCUAGAGAGGAGAAGUCAGUGUCUGGCUUCGAAACUUCAAAGGACAGGCUGACUCUCUUGUUAGUGGUGAAUGCAGCUGGUGACUUUAAGUUGAAGCCAAUGUUCAUUGACCAUUCUAAGAAUCCUAGAGCCCUUAAAAAUUAUGCUCAAUCUACUCUGCCUGUGCUCUAUAAAUGGAAUAAAAAAGCCUGGAUGACAGCACGUCUGUUUAGAGCAUGAUUUACUGAAUAUUCUAAGCCCACUCUUGAGACCUGCUCAAAAGAAAAGAUUCCUUUCAAAAUAUUACUCCUCAUUGACGGGGGAAGGGAUGGGAGGUGGGUGACGGAUAAAAGACUACAAUUUGGGUACAGUAUAUAUACUACUCGGGUGAUAGGUACACCAAAAUCUCAGAAAUCACCGCUAAAGACCUUGUUGAUAUAACCAAGCAUCACCUGUUCCCCAAAAACCUAUGGAAAUAAAAAAAUACUGUAUCAUGUAAUUAAUGCAUACAUUAAAUCUUAUUGCAAUUAAA